GAGAUGGGUCUCCCCACCUCCGAGGAUCAGAAAAAGAAAGAGAUCCUCGACAAAUUUAUGAAACAACACCCAGAAAUGGAUUUCUCCAAGUGUAACUUCAACUGAGCCAUCAACACUACAUGUAUUUACAUCUCAUAUCAUUUUUCAAUUAAGAUGGAAAUAUUCGUGUUAUGAAUCCAUUGAAUAGACUGUGAGAAAGUGACACUUGUGAUUAACAAUAUAUACACAUAACAACAUUAACAGCAAAUACAGUUUUGUAUUAUAAAUAGUUUUUAUUUUUAGUGUAAUGUGUAUACACAUGAUUGCUUGAUGUAUUACAACUAAAGAUUACAUAAUUAUAGUUAAUAAAUUCAUCAUAACUCAU
rnacentral:misc_RNA from 1 species